rnacentral:rRNA from 1 species
UGGCUCAGGACGAACGCUGGCGGCGUGCCUAACACAUGCAAGUCGAGCGGAGUUAACAAGAGGAAGUUUCGGAUGGAAUUUGUAAUUAGCGGCGGACGGGUGAGUAACGCGUGAGCGACCAACCUUGCACAGGGGGAUAACGGACCGAAAGGUUCACUAAUAUCGCAUGAGACCACGGUGUUGCAUGACACAGAGGUCAAAGGAGCAAUCCGGUGCAAGACGGGCUCGCGUCCGAUUAGGUAGUUGGUGGGGUAAUGGCCCACCAAGCCUAUGAUCGGUAGCCGACCUGAGAGGGUGAUCGGCCACAUUGGAACUGAGAUACGGUCCAAACUCCUACGGGAGGCAGCAGUGGGGAAUAUUGGGCAAAUGGGGGAAACCCUGACCCAGCAACGCCGCGUGAAGGAAGAAGGUUUUCGGAUUGUAAACUUCUGUCCUUGGUGAAGAGAAGAAGACGGUAGCCAAGGAGGAAGCCCCGGCUAACUACGUGCCAGCCGCAGC